CCUCCCCCCGCCCCCGUUCCUGCUCCAGCAGCACAAUAUGAUCCACCGGCAAGGAGAGAUGCCAAUAAGGCGUCCGAUAAGAUAAGUCUUAUAAAACAUAUAGGUUUAUGAUAGUUAAGACUGAGCUAACAGAUGAGAAUCCUAGUCAUUGGCCAAGCAGCAUUGUACCUAAUACAAGUUUCUGUGUAUUCAUUUGGGCCCUAACUUGGGCAGGCGGCUGGCGUAAAGCUCACAUGUAGCGGUGGAGCUCAGGUGGCUUUUGGUGGAAAGAUUUAUCGUAAUAAAUAGUGGUUUCUCUUCAAUUAAUACUAACAGAGUAGUUCUGCUUCUUGUUAUCAAAAUGAUUAAAUACAAAACACCAGAGUAGUUUUGGCAUGAUUCCAACUAUUUUUGUUCUGUUUCUUUGGUUGUGUUAUAUUUGAAGAAAGAAAAUGCUUACUCAUAUUUCAUCUGAUGUGUUAUAGCCACCUAGUAUUUUGAAAAUGUCAAAAAUCUCCUCUUUGGCCAUUCUAAUAUUCUUAACUAUAUGGUAUAUUCUGGUAAUACUUUGAUGUCUGACUUUAUAGAGUAAGAACAAAUGUUCUCAAUUCAUUUAAAUUUUUUAUUCUCAUGUCUGGAAAAAUAAUUUUUUGGGAACUCUCUACUUCCCAGAAUUCAGAAAAAGCUCAUUAAGAUUUUGGUCUCUUGAAUAAAGAAUUAAUAACAAAUUGAAAUUAGGUAGGCUCCAGUGAUCUAUAUUUUGAAGUUAGGACAUGUGUCAGGGGUGCCGCUAGACUCCACAAAAUCCACAGAGUCCCAGAUCUUAUCUAUUUCCAUCCCUAGCUUCUGUGCAAAAGAACAGGGCACGCCUGUCAAUGGAGUUUGCCCAAAAUAUACCUUCCCAAAACUUGGGAGAAUCUAGCUGCAGUGUGAAGCAAACCAAGGUGGACAGUGCAAGGCCAGGACCUCCAUCUUGAGAGGAGGCAUCUGAAGUCUUCAUAUUCCUGUGCUGUCAGUCUCGUUUGCUUUCCCCUUUUCACUUUAUAUUGUCAAUUCCAAAGGAAAACAACAUCUACAAACACUGAGGAUAUUGUAACAUAACAUCGCUCACUUCCAUUCCGUUUGCAAAUGUUUACAAGAAUGGAUUCCUCUGAAUAUGCUUGGCUUAUUUCUAGUUGCUGAUGAAUAUUCCAAAUGACACAUUUGGAUUCCUUCCAUUAAUUUUGGAUCAUUUUUAAUAAUAAAGCACAGGAAAAUUAUGGAAAGAAAUGCAAUGCAAUGGGAAACUUUUUAGUCAAAUAACAAAUGUUAAACAUUUAUAUCCUUUGUUGUCAGGGCAUUAGAUUUCAUGGUACAAUAAGCCAUGGUUUUCAUUAUUACAUUUCCAUUAUUGCUAUUGAACGUCUAAGCUCUCCUUAGAAUGAUUACUUUGUGAACUGCUUCAUCAAUACCUAACUUCUAUGAAGCACUGUGGAAUGCUUAAAAAAUAUGAGGUUCUAAUAAUAGUAGAUAAUUAUUAAGUCAUCACAUUCAAAUCCUGUUGUCCUGACAUCUUAAUAAAAUUAUGCUGCUUUUGGAGAAGGGUCCAUAGAAAAUAAGCCUCCAAAGAUUUUCAUGUGUAAAGAAUGCCAACAUUUGAUUUACAUUUAUUAACUUUAGGAGGCAAAAUAAUCUCUAAUGGUACAAGACAUUGAAAAUAUGCAAUGUUGCUACGGAGUUAAAGCUGCUUCCAGUGUGACAGCAGCUGACUUAACGAGCCAGUUCCAGUAAUAAUUGAGUUUCUGUGCUUUUCUUUUAAUUUUGCUACCUGACGCUACCUGAGAGCAGUCGACUUUAUUUCAGAAUCCCAUUAGGUAGCAUUUUAAGAUCCUAUUUCCUGGGGUUUUAAAAUCUAAUUGUCAGUCAAUGCACUACAGCAAGUCUGACUUGCCUUUGAUUCUCAGGGCUCUUCGUGGUGGGAAAAAACAGAAGAAGUAUGCUCCAUCAUCCUGUCAAGCAGGUUUCUUAACAAAUUACCUUUCCUCUCAAAAGAAAACACACAGAGGCGUUUUUGUUGCUUUAACAAUUCUUAUAGUUCAUAUCUUCCUUUCUGAGCUAUUACAGGAACCAGAAACUGAACACCAGUGUCUAGACCAGACAGGCUGACAACUGAUGUCCUUAAGAUUUAUGAAGAAAUAUAAGUGUGUAAUGGCUGUAUCAGGCUAAGCUAUGCCAUUCAGGGUUCUUAGAUCUACUUACGAGCCUUUGCUUUGUCUCAGACAAAUAUCACCUACACAGAUGUAAUUUGACCUAAGAGAAUAUUGGACUUGGAAUUUGAAAGGAGAUGUGUUCAUCUUUCCUUAGAUAUUUUGUGAUGAUACAUGUCCUCCAAUUCUAAUAAAAAUAAACAUUAAAAAACAUUAAGCUUUCUAUUUUCUACUUCUGGAGCAUGGUGGUUUUAUAAAAAUAAUUUUCAAAUCACACAUUUUUUCAGCACAUCCCAAUUAAUGGCUGGUUUCCAUUAAGUCUCACUCUUGCUAUGACUCCAGAGUGUACAGCCCAAAGGCAGAGAAAGUUUAAAGUCACAUAUUAAAUUAGCUGGAUAUUUUUGUAAACUCAGAGUAGACAUGUUUAGAUUACAAGGAUUUAAAUCUAAGGAAUUUUUACAAAGACAAAAAUUAUCUGUAGACUGGUACAGUUCAUAUGUUCCAUCAGGCUUCUUCCUUCUGUGUAAGAAUACACCUCUUUGGUUUUAAAUAAAAGUCUGUUAAAGGUCACAGAGAGAAGGGGCAGCUGUUGGAACACUGUGACAGCAAGCUGGUUUGUGUCACAUUUCCUGAUGGACCAAGGAGAAAGAAAUGAAGAUAUGCCCAUCUUCCUACAAGAUCUUAACGUUUCUGUUCAUUUGUUUUUGCUUUGAAUGGGGAUGAUAGCCUCACAAUGGGUUUUGAACUGAUCUAUCAAAACACUCUGAAGAGAAUUGGCCUCUGGUAUUUAGUUCACCUGUAUGUUUUUGCGACUCCUGCAUGUUUUAGUCCAUCUGUGAUUUCUCUAGAUUUCAUUAAAUGCAUUAGGUUAUGUGGCUGUAAGCUUCGCUCUUCUCCUCUCACGUAGUCUGUGACAGAUCAUCUGGAUUUACAGUUGCACUGUCCUGGUAACAGCAACAUAUGCAUCUUUCUCAAGAGCUCACUUGGGCAACCGGGACUGAGACUGUCUUCCACAUAUCAUUUCCCAUUGGUUCACACAGGAGUCUGUAGCUCCAAAGGGAUCAGGAGUGUGAACUUUUCCUCAUAAAGACUAAAGUAAAAGUGGAAGAAGCUAAAUGAAUUGAAAUAGAAUCCUAAAAACUGGGAGUAUUGUUGGAGAAGUACAAUUUAUCCAUGGGAUACAGAGACCAAACAGCAGAGAUUAACAGCCAAACACAAGGUGGUGUUUAUUUAUCAGAGUGAUUUUAAAGAAAGGAAAUUCCUAGAAAGGCUUUGUGAAGAAAAAACAAAAAGUAAAACAAAGAAAUUCACCAAGUAUUAGAAUCUGAAUAAACAUGAAAGUCAACGCUCUGUGUAUUUGACUACUCUAGGCCUCUUCUGGAACCCUAGUGUGUGAUUAACAAUUCCAUAAGAUCACAAAAGGCCAGUAGAAGCUUGGAUUAUAUUCUCUUGCUGGAAACAUGAACAUAAAUUAUAACAAAUUAGAGUUUUCCAUGCGAUUUCAAGACUCUCUCUUUUUAUAUUUUAUUUUAUUUAUUUAUUUUUUUUGAGGAAAAGGGAUUGCUAAAACAAGAUGUACUAUAUUCUAGGCUGGUCAUUGACUCACUUCAUAGUCUAGAGAGGACUUGAAUUCCUGGCACUCUUCCAGCUACAGCCUGUUAGUUCCAAGAUUAAAAACAGGGGACAUUACAUCUGGCUUUCCUUAAUUUAGUGAAUUCCUCCCACAAGAACUGUAUCAGACACCUACUGCCUCAACAUACUUCUUGGAAGUUACCCUGAAAUCAGCUUUCUUUCCAACAAAGCUGUGUCCUCAUAGGCACAUAUAUGUGCUUUGACAGUGGUCAGGUUGAAAUAAAUGACUUUUGACCCAACAUCUCUGCUUUGCGCUGUAUGUUGGAUAUACUUGGAUUCCAGAUGUGGUUCAGUUCAGGUCGCCACUGCUUGCUUAUUCUAAUAUCAGAACAAAGAUUUCAUAUCUACCUCAGGAAUAUUUUCAAGACUAACACUGGAACAUGAAAGGAAAACCUGUACCUGCAUCUAAGUUUUGUACUUAGCUUCUAGGCUCUGUAGCAUAAGAAAGGAGUAGAUGUUCCACCCAUAGAUGAGUGUCCAUAGCUGCCAUCUAACAAAAACUAUUGUAAGAAUUGUCCCCCUUGAUACUUUGUAGGCAGAUUAUCUUGAGUUUCCACAUUACUACUAAAAAUUUGUUGUGAUUUCAGCAGUACUAAUAAUUCCAGCUACAUGGGGAAUCAUGUAAAACCACAGACAUGUAUCAAAUUGAAGAUAGAUGUACAUAUUAAAGUGACACUUAGAUUCAAGGAAGAAGUAAAACUUACAAAUGCCUUCUCCAUUACAUUGGAGCCUAUGGAAAGGUAGGAGGAAAUAUUUCUGUUCUAACAAAUAUAUUUAGCCAUCACAUAAUAUUUUACAUUUAAUGAUUACUCUAUUUUAGCUUUGACCCUCCAGUACCAAACGCUAAGAACAAAGACAAUAAUCAUUUGCCUGGAGAAAUUCCCAUCUACAUCUGCAGGGAACACCUGAAUGGCUGCAGGAAAGAGUGCAAGCAAAAGGAAGUUAUUAGUGUCUUCCCCAGAUCCACACAGGGGCUGAUAGAACAUGAUGUCAGAAACAUGACAAUGGCAGGCAGUAGUGACUUUGGAUACUGUUGCCAUAACACAAGCUUACAGGCAAUCUCUAAUAGUCUCUCUUUACUUCCUUCUUUUCUUGCAGAAAAGACAGCUCCUUUAAAAAAACAAAUUCCUUUAUGAGCAAACACAACGUAGAAAGUUACAUUUCAAAUAUAUUUUAUGCCAUUUAAUUAUUUUCACAAUAUGUCCUGGCUACUAAACGGAGCAAUGGAAUUUUAUACUAUAUUCUUACAUAAGGGGCUAACUAAACUAAGAUACCAGUUGGUAGAGUUAAGUGUGCUUAAAUAUCACUCAAGGCAAAUGUAUAAAAGAAAUUCCAGGUAUACAUCCCAAAUAUUCCAGUGCAGUCAGAUGAGUGAGUCUCAGGCAAAUGCUCUAAGGAUCAAUUUGUUUUCAUACUCCCAGUUUUUAGGAGAUUAAAAAUAAUUAAUACAUGUGCCUACAUGUAUUUACUUAAAUAUAUCAGUGUCAGUACUGUGACAAUGAACUUUCUUUGUAAAUUCUUCCUUAUUAUUGACUAAAUUUAUGAUAAAGGAUCAGAUAUUUGUAAACGGAGAAUGCAUUUAUUUAAAUGAAUAUUUGAAAAACACAGGCUGAAAUUUCUCAGAGCAGACAGCCUCUGUAAGUGAAUAGCAAGUAAUUCUUGCUCAUGAACAUAUAGAAAUACAUGAGUCACACACACACAAAAAAAAACUAAUACAUAGGCACAAAUUAAGAAACUGUAAAAAUUAUAUAUAUAUAUAUAUAUAUAUAUAUAUAUUAUAUAUAUAUUAAUUCAUGUAUGUACUCUCUCUCUCAUGUGUGUAUGUGUGUAUAUGUGUUUGCAUGUGUGUUAAUGUGUAUGAGUGAAAUGUGUGGCCAAUUGGAGAUAUUUAAGCCAGGAUGUCAUCACUGCUCACCAACAUGACAUUAGGUGAUCUGUCUUCAUCAGUAUCUUCCUGGAUUCUCCUGUCUCUGACUUUCUGGUAUUAGAUGCCUGUGUGUAUGUGUAUGUUUAUGCUUUGUAUGGGCUUUAGGGAUUUGAACUCAGGUCUUCAUGCUUGCAUGACACAUGAUUUACUGUGCUGUCUCCUAAGACCCAAACUAUAUUUUAAAUAGGAAACAUUUAAAAGUUGAAUAAAUUCUAAUAAAAGACAGGGUAUCUAUUGAUCCAGAGAAAUUGUAUGACUGUUAAAAAUAAAAAGUAAACAUCACAAGAUCAAACUUAAUUUAGCCUGAGAUUUAAAAAGAAAGCUAGAUAAGUGAUAUAAGCCAAGUUAUAAGUCAGGAUUGUGAAUACAAAGAGGGAAAGGAAGUUCUUAGGAAAAGACAAAGCAAGCUAGAAAAACCUUAAAAUACAGUGAAAUAGGCAAUGAAAUCAAAUCCAUUUUUAAAGACCCAGAAUUAUUUAGCAAUUGGAUGACAUAACAGAAACAGGUGUCAAGAUAAUAAAACAGGGGUAUAAAAAUAUGAGUUCAAAGGCUAAGAAGAGGCAAAAUGACUACAUCAAGUGGAAAUUAUUAGUAAAAUAUUGAGAGGAAACAAGUAGGGAGAAAUAGGUACCUCUUACCAGUAUAGAAGCUCAGGCCAGGGCUUGACAUUCUAGAGGGAUCUUCAAGUAUAGGGCUCAGGAAGCAAAAGCAGGCUCUGACCUUUGCCUCAUGAUGAAGUGAAUACCAGGUGCAGUCAUGAACCAUGGAGAGAUGUCAUGUCCAGUGGCCCCUGUUCUUCUAGAAGAUGCAUGGGACAUGACUUUGAGAAUGUGAAUCUGAAGUUAAGCUAUGACUCUCCAAACUGCACCUUCUACUCAGAGUUAAAGAAAAGAAGUUCCCAUAGAAAAGACUGGCUGAAUGUGUCCAGGCACCAGAGGACAGCUAGCGAAGCAGCAUACAGAAGAAGAGACAUGGAUGGUAACAGUGCAAGCUACAUGAAGGCUGGGUUGGAAAUGUCUUCCUGGAUUCGGAAGAGAGUGUGUUUUUACUCUGGAUGUGACAAGGUAUUCAAUGGCUUCAAACUGGGGAUGGCUGGACCUGGCACACAUGAUCUCAGAAAGCUCUGUCUCACUGCUGUGUAGGAAUCAACAAGACGAGGUAAAAACAGAAGUAAAUUGAAUCAGUUCAAGAACUGAGCAGCCCAGUGGGGGGAAAAAAAAAAAAAGGUCCAGUAGUGUGCUGUUAUAGACACCUGGGAUCCCAGUACUUGGGAGGCAGAGGCAAAAGGAUAUCAGGAUGGACAUGGCCCAAUGGAGAUAUGUCUCAAAUUUUAAAUGCAUCAAAGCUUCCUUCAUGCUGAUAGCAAAAAAAAAAAUGAGGAAAUUUGCAAAUUAUUUUCAAGGUAGACCAUUGUCAUACUCAACUAGGAAGAACUGGGGAAGAAUAAAAGACUGUGGAACAUCCUGAGAUGCAGGAUCCCUCCUUGGUGAUAGUAUGCCAGGUGCUUACCCAUGCAGCUAUAAAUAAGGCAAGCAGAAGAGAGCAAAAUGGGAACUCAAUUUGGAGGUUAAGGGACUUGGUGAUUUGAUGCCUGGCUAGCAGCUGUGUGUUUUUUUU
rnacentral:lncRNA from 1 species